rnacentral:rRNA from 1 species
UAUGGGGAUCUGCCCGAUAGAGGGGGAUAACUACUGGAAACGGUGGCUAAUACCGCAUAAUGUCUACGGACCAAAGCAGGGGCUCUUCGGACCUUGCACUAUCGGAUGAACCCAUAUGGGAUUAGCUAGUAGGUGGGGUAAAGGCUCACCUAGGCGACGAUCUCUAGCUGGUCUGAGAGGAUGAUCAGCCACACUGGGACUGAGACACGGCCCAG